rnacentral:rRNA from 1 species
UACAGAGGUCUCAAGCGUUGUUCGGAUUCAUUGGGCGUAAAGGGUGCGUAGGUGGUGCUGUAAGUCAGGUGUGAAAUCUCGGGGCUCAACCCCGGAACUGCCUUUGAUACUGGCAUUCUCGAGUCCGGAAGAGGUGAGUGGAAUUCCGAGUGUAGAGGUGAAAUUCGUAGAUAUUCGGAGGAACACCAGUGGCGAAGGCGGCUCACUGGUCCGGUACUGACGCUGAGGUGCGAAAGCGUGGGGAGCAAACAGG